rnacentral:tRNA from 1 species
GCGGAACUGGCGGAAUUGGUAGACGCGCUAGAUUCAGGUUCUAGUGUCGCAAGACAUCGGGGUUCAAGUCCCCGGUUCCGCA